GACGAACGCUGGCGGCGUGCUUAACACAUGCAAGUCGAACGGAAAGGCCCUGCUUUUGUGGGGUGCUCGAGUGGCGAACGGGUGAGUAACACGUGAGUAACCUGCCCUUGACUUUGGGAUAACUUCAGGAAACUGGGGCUAAUACCGGAUAGGAGCUCCUGCUGCAUGGUGGGGGUUGGAAAGUUUCGGCGGUUGGGGAUGGACUCGCGGCUUAUCAGCUUGUUGGUGGGGUAGUGGCUUACCAAGGCUUUGACGGGUAGCCGGCCUGAGAGGGUGACCGGCCACAUUGGGACUGAGAUACGGCCCAGACUCCUACGGGAGGCAGCAGUGGGGAAUAUUGCACAAUGGGCGGAAGCCUGAUGCAGCAACGCCGCGUGCGGGAUGACGGCCUUCGGGUUGUAAACCGCUUUCGCCUGUGACGAAGCAUGAGUGACGGUAUGGGUAAAGAAGCACCGGCUAACUACGUG
rnacentral:rRNA from 1 species